rnacentral:rRNA from 1 species
GAAUUUAAUAUAUAUUUUAUUAGAUUGAUUUAUGUAAAUUAAUUUAUAGUAAGAAUAUAUUUAGUUGGGAGGAUUAUUAAAUUUAAUAAACUUUAAUUUUUGUAAAAACAUAAAUUAGUGGGGUAAAGUGAAUGAUUAAUAAAUUAAAUAAGAAUUAAUUACCUUAGGGAUAACAGCAUAAUAUUUUUAGAGAGAUCAUAUUAAUAGGAGUGUUUGU